UACAGAGGUGGCAAGCGUUGUUCGGAAUUACUGGGCGUAAAGGGCGCGUAGGCGGCCUUCUAAGUCAGACGUGAAAUCCCCCGGCUUAACCUGGGAACUGCGUCUGAUACUGGGAGGCUUGAGUAUGGGAGAGGGAUGUAGAAUUCCAGGUGUAGCGGUGAAAUGCGUAGAUAUCUGGAGGAACACCGAUGGCGAAGGCAGCUCGCUGGGACGGUACUGACGCUGAGGCGCGAAAGCUAGGGGAGCAAACGGGG
rnacentral:rRNA from 1 species